rnacentral:tRNA from 1 species
GGCGGGUUGGCCGAGCGGUCUAAGGCGACGGUUUUGAAAACCGUUGAUGGCAGAAAUGUCAUCCGGGGGUUCGAAUCCCUCACCCGCCGCCA